ACAGCAGCCGCCGCGGUAAUACGUAGGUGGCAAGCGUUGUCCGGAAUUAUUGGGCGUAAAGCGCGCGCAGGCGGUUUCUUAAGUCUGAUGUGAAAGCCCCCGGCUUAACCGGGGAGGGUCAUUGGGAACUGGGAGACUUAGAGUGCAGAAGAGGAGAGUGGAAUUCCAUGUGUAGCGGUGAAAUGCGUAGAUAUAUGGAGGAACACCAGUGGCGAAGGCGACUCUCUGGUCUGUAACUGACGCUGAGGCGCGAAAGCGUGGGGAGCAAACAGGAUUAGAUACCCGCGUAGUCCCUGUCUCUUAUA
rnacentral:rRNA from 1 species